rnacentral:lncRNA from 1 species
UAGGGAGAUGAAUGAGCCUACGGAUGAUAGGACAUUUCAUGUGGUGUAUGCAUCGGGGUAGUCCGAGUAACGUCGGGGCAUUCCAGACAGGCCAAGGAAGUGUUGUGGGAAGAAGGUUAGGUUUACGGAGGCUCCAGGAUGCGAGUAGUUUCCUGCUAAGGGAGGGUAGACUGUCCAACCUGUUCCGGCGCCGGCUUCUACUAUGGCAGAUGCAAGUAGAAGUAGGAGAGAAGGGGGCACCAAUUAUCAAGGGAACUAGCCAGUUGCCGAAGCCUCCGAUUAUGAUAGGCAUUACUAUGAAGAAGAUUAUUACGAACGCAUGGUAUAGUGUUCCAAUAUCUUUGUGGUUUGUAGAGAAUAGUCAGCGGUCGGCGAACAUCAGUAGGGUGGGGUAA